rnacentral:rRNA from 1 species
ACUCUUACGAGGCCUCGUAAUCGGAAUGAGUACACUUUAAAUAUUUUAACGAGGAACAAUUGGAGGGCAAGUCUGGUGCCAGCAGCCGCGGUAAUUCCAGCUCCAAUAGCGUAUACUAAAAUUGUUGCGGUUAAAAAGCUCGUAGUUGCAUUUGUGCGCCGCGCUGUCGGUGCACCGCAUCCGCGGUGAUACUGACACGUUUGCGGAGCAUAUCGUCGGUGAGCCGGCGUUCUAAAAAACGCCGGUUCAAUAUCAAAAUCCUAUCGCGGUGCUCUUCGGUGAGUGUCGAGGUGGGCCGACAAUUUUACUUUGAACAAAUUAGAGUGCUCAAAGCGGGCUAAAAAUGCUGCUUGAAUAUUUCGUGCAUGGAAUAAUAGAAUAUGAUCUCGGUUCUAUUUUGUUGGUUUUCAGAACUCCGAGGUAAUGAUUAAUAGGGAUAACUGGGGGCAUUCGUAUUGCGACGUUAGAGGUGAAAUUCUUGGAUCGUCGCAAGACGAACAUCAGCGAAAGCAUUUGCCAAAGGUGUUUUCAUCAAUCAAGAACGAAAGUUAGAGGUUCGAAGGCGAUUAGAUACCGCCCUAGUUCUAACCGUAAAUAUGUCAUCUAGCGAUCCGCCGACGUUACUACAAUGGCUCGGCGGGCAGCUUCCGGGAAACCAAAGAUUUUGGACUCCGGGGGGAGUAUGGUUGCAAAGCUGAAACUUAAAGGAAUUGACGGAAGGGCACCACCAGGAGUGGAGCCUGCGGCUUAAUUUGACUCAACACGGGAAAUCUCACCAGGCCCGGACACCGGAAGGAUUGACAGAUUAACAGCUCUUUCUUGAUUCGGUGGGUGGUGGUGCAUGGCCGUUCUUAGUUGGUGGAGCGAUUUGUCUGGUUAAUUCCGGUAACGAACGAGACUCUAGCCUGCUAAAUAGGCGUCGUUAUUUAGGUGUGCGCGGCCUCGUGUCGCGCAACUCACUGACGACGUAUUAAAAUUCUUCUUAGAGGGACCGGCGUCUUCGAGCCGCACGAGAUUGAGCAAUAACAGGUCUGUGAUGCCCUUAGAUGUCCUGGGCCGCACGCGCGCUACACUGAAGGAAUCAGCAUGUUCUCCCUGGCCUAGAGGCCCGGGCAACCCGCUGAAACUCCUUCGUGCUGGGGAUUGGGGUUUGCAAUUAUCCCCCAUAAACGAGGAAUUCCUAGUAAGCGCGAGUCAUAAGCUCGCGUUGAUUACGUCCCUGCCCUUUGUACACACCGCCCGUCGCUACUACCGAUUGAAUGAUUUAGUGAGGUCUUCGGACCGACACGCGGUGGCUUCACGGCCGUCGGCGUUGUUGGGAAGUUGACCAAACUUGAUCAUUUAGAGGAAGUAAAAGUCGUAACAAGGUUUCCGUAGGGGAACCUGCGGAAG